AUAGCACACAGGCACACACUUCGAUUCGAGCUCAAAAUUAGGCUGUCCGGGUUAGCAGAGGCUGCCUGCCUGCUACUUCUGCUAUCUCUUGACCUGUAGAGCUAUCUCAAAAAAAAAAAAAAAGCAAAUGUUCCUGUCCCAGAAGCCGUGAAGUUGCUGCCACCAAGCCCUCGAGCUAGAGCAGGAAUGGAGAUGCCUACUACCAGGGACUGCCACCAAGGGACAGGCCUCAGGGUGGCAAACACAGAAGGUUUUGUCUUAAAGCCAUAGCCACACUCACGAGGCACAGAUGGAAACUGCUUCCAAAGAGGAAGGUAUUGUGAAUGCUGACAUCGCCUCUUGGGCAGAAUUCUCUUACCUCACUGGAGAUGGGUUCAGUGAGCAGAUCCCUCUCCUGGAAACUGAGAGAGUUUCCGCAGGCAUCUUAAAGGAUCACAAGUUCCAUCUGUUGCGCUUGGUAUUUU
rnacentral:lncRNA from 1 species